rnacentral:rRNA from 1 species
UGGGGAAUUUUGGACAAUGGGCGAAAGCCUGAUCCAGCAAUGCCGCGUGUGUGAAGAAGGCCUUCGGGUUGUAAAGCACUUUUGUCCGGAAAGAAAUGGCUCUGGUUAAUACCUGGGGUCGAUGACGGUACCGGAAGAAUAAGGACCGGCUAACUACGUGCCAGCAGCCGCGGUAAUACGUAGGGUCCAAGCGUUAAUCGGAAUUACUGGGCGUAAAGCGUGCGCAGGCGGUUGUGCAAGACCGAUGUGAAAUCCCCGAGCUUAACUUGGGAAUUGCAUUGGUGACUGCACGGCUAGAGUGUGUCAGAGGGGGGUAGAAUUCCACGUGUAGCAGUGAAAUGCGUAGAGAUGUGGAGGAAUACCGAUGGCGAAGGCAGCCCCCAUGGGAUAACACUGACGCUCAUGCACGAAAGCGUGGGGAGCAAACAGGAUUAGAUACCCUGGUAGUCCACGCCCUAAACGAUGUGCAACUAGGUUGUUGGGGAUUCAUUUCCUUAGUAACGUAGCUAACGCGUGAAGUUGACCGCCUGGGGAGUACGGUCGCAAGAUU